AUCUAUCUCAUCUAUGUCAAGAACGUCGAAUUAGCGAACAAAAAAAACCACUGAGAAACGAAUCAAGACCGACACUUCCCCCGAUGACUUUAGGAUAAUGGAAGCCGACGACGAAUGCACAAGCCCAGUGUAAAGUAUGUGUGUUUAUAGAACUGUUUGUAUUGGUAUUAGUUUUCUGAACUGUAUCUCAGCAAAUUUGCUACUACCAGACUAAAAACGAGGUGUUCUUCGAACUUGCCAAAAAAAAAAGUGUUACGGCACAAUGCUCUGCUAUCAGCACCUCAGCCUAUUUUAUCGGGAUCUGUACAAAGAAUUAAACACGUGGAAAUUAGACGACAGUUUUUUUUUCUACUCUAUCGGCUAAAUUAAAAUUUUUCUCCUUGAGAUCCUUUGAAGAUCAUUCUAUGGCGUCGAAUGCAAUCUCUCUAGAAGAAGCUAAUUCCAGUAACAUCAUCCAUAUUGAGACCAUUAAUACAGUCUUGUUACCUGUUCGGUACAAGUAUGAUUUUUACGAGAAGGUCUUGAAAAAUCCAAAGUACUUCGGCAGCUUAGCCUACUACGACGGAAACCCUGUCGGAGCCAUAUGCUGUCGAUUGGAAGAAAACGUCUCCAGUUCAAUAAAAUCUAGGGUAUAUAUCAUGACACUAGGAGUUCUGGCACCUUACAGAAAAUUAGGUAUUGGAACCAAACUCUUAAAUGUUGCGUUUGACUUGGCUAGAGAUGCUCAUACCUCGCAAAUCUGUCUGCACGUCCAGCAAGGUAAUGAUGCCAUUGAUUUUUAUAAAAAUGCUGGGUUCCAGGUUGACUAUAUUCAAGAAAAUUACUACACACAAGUGAGACCGUCCUCUGCCGCAGUGCUGGUGAAAACUAUCGAAUUGGACGCGUGACCAAACAGAUUCUAGAAAAAGUAUAGGUCUUACGUGUAGUUGACUCCACACUUGUUACCCCAAGAAAGGCAGGAAUGCGCGUAUCGUGUUAUGGUGACUGGAUUUGGGUCUUAUAAAUCACUGAGAGAUGUCAAAAAACAAGCAUGCGGAACAGACGUGAGCUUGGAAAGAAAAAAGUUUUGAUCUUGUAUAUGACGUAUGAAAUCAAAUGACAGAGUAAAAUUAGAGAUUCCAGACAAGAACAAAGCGUGACCCCUUUUUUAAAGAGACACGAAAUGAAGGCAACAUGUAUGCUUUCUCUAAUUCGACUGAAAAUUUUUUUAGAUAGAAAUUGGUAAUAGGAGAAGGGAGCGUCAGAAUAGCCGACUUCGAGCUCUUCUAUAUCAGUAGAGUAGACAUA